CUUGCAAUGGAGCUUAUGAGAGUGGGGGUGGGGAGAAGAGAUUCAGAGUGCAUUCCAGAGGAAGCUCUACAAAGGAUCAUUUCGACUCUGGCAAAUAAAAAUGAUGAAAUUCAGAACUUUAUUGAUACACUAAAUCAAACACUAAAAGGAGUUCAGGAAAAUUCUUCUAACAUACUUUCAGAGUUAGAUGAAGAAUUUGAUAGUUUAUAUUCUAUUUUGGAUGAGGUGAAAGAAAGUAUGAUUAACAGUAUCAAGCAGGAACAAGCUCGUAAAUCACAAGAGUUACAGAGUCAGCUCAGUCAAUGUAAUAAUGCCUUGGAGAACUCAGAAGAACUACUAGAAUUUGCAACACGGUCAUUAGAUCUAAAGGAACCUGAAGAAUUUUCAAAGGCUGCCAGACAGAUCAAGGAUAGAGUAACAAUGGCUUCAGCCUUUCGCCUUUCUUUGAAACCAAAGGUCAGUGACAACAUGACUCAUUUAAUGGUGGAUUUUUCUCAGGAAAGACAGAUGCUGCAAACUUUGAAGUUUUUGCCAGUUCCUAAAGCUCCAGAGAUAGAUCCAGUAGAGUGUUUGGUGGCUGACAAUUCUGUAACAGUGGCUUGGAGAAUGCCAGAAGAAGAUAAUAAAAUUGAUCAUUUUAUACUGGAAUAUCGGAAAACUAAUUUUGACGGACUUCCACGUGUAAAGGAUGAGCGAUGCUGGGAGAUAAUUGAUAAUAUUAAGGGUACUGAAUAUACACUAUCAGGCUUAAAGUUUGAUUCAAAGUAUAUGAAUUUCAGAGUUCGAGCUUGUAACAAAGCUGUAGCUGGAGAGUAUUCUGAUCCAGUGACUCUAGAGACCAAAGCACUAAACUUCAAUUUGGAUAGCUCAUCAUCCCAUUUGAACCUGAGAGUUGAAGAUACCUGUGUAGAGUGGGAUCCUACAGGAGGAAAAGGUCAAGAAAGUAAAAUGAAAGGAAAAGAGAAUAAGGGCAGAAGUGGCACGCCGUCCCCCAAACGGACAUCUAUAGGCUCCAGGCCACCAGCAGGAAGAGGCAGCAGAGAUCGUUUUACUGGAGAAUCAUACACAGUGCUGGGAGACACUGCUAUUGAAAGUGGACAACAUUAUUGGGAGGUCAAGGCCCAGAAGGAUUGUAAAUCUUACAGUGUGGGGGUAGCAUACAAGACUUUGGGGAAAUUUGACCAAUUAGGAAAGACAAACACUAGUUGGUGUAUCCAUGUCAACAACUGGCUGCAAAACACAUUUGCAGCAAAGCAUAAUAAUAAAGUCAAAGCCUUGGAUGUUACUGUUCCUGAGAGAAUAGGUGUAUUUUGUGAUUUUGAUGGGGGUCAACUUUCUUUCUAUGAUGCAAGCUCAAAACAGUUGUUGUAUUCCUUUAAGACAAAAUUUACUCAGCCAGUACUACCUGGUUUCAUGGUUUGGUGUGGUGGACUUUCUUUGAAUACUGGGAUGCAGGUUCCAAGUGCUGUGAGAACGCUUCAGAAAAGUGAAAAUGGAAUGACGGGUUCAGCUAGCAGCCUAAACAAUAUUACUCAGUAAUGCUUACUCAGAAUAUGUUUCACCCCCUUUGGGUGGCCUUUUCUGUGCAGUUACUAAUCACAGAAAUUUACAAGUGGUGGAAAUCAGGUUUGCUACCUUCUGCUUUAAGGCCUGGGAUGUGUUAGCAUUAAGCAUCUAGUACCAAGUACUCACGGGAACCUACUGUGCAGUAGCAUCAAGCAAGCAGAUUCUGAGCAAGAAACUGAUGUUUCGAAGAACAAAUGGGAAGAAAGGCAGUGUUUAAAUAGUUACAUAGAAACUCAUUUUUGUGUUUCUUGGAUUACUUUGGCUCUCCUAAAAUGUUUAGUUAGUAUGUAGCCCUAGGAUCUGAGAGGAAAGCAUUUAAAUCUUGUCUUCUUUCCCCUGUACUUUCUCUUUAUCUCGUCACUACCUAUUAUUAGGUUCUUACACUGAAGCUUUAAAAAAAAAUACAGUCUUCUAAGUUUGCCUAAAAAUUGAAAUCAUUGGUUGGGGAUGCUAGAAAUGUUUUCUUAAUUGUUGUCCUUUCGUAAAGAAGUUGAGUUUUGCUAAAUUAUCCUCUUUUGUUUUACUGACUAGAUUGUUUAUCAUUUUCUCUUUUCCAAAUAUUGUGACAUUUCUCUUAUUUGAGUUAAAACUCAAAAUAGAGUGGAUAGGAAGACUUUAGCUUAAAAUCACCCAUACAUUAGUUGUCGUCGUUGUUUUUAACCUGCUGCACUAACAGUGGCAAAGGGAUAUUCUUUAUAUGUUGCCUUGUUUAAUUAGACUUCUUUUCAUUCCAUCAUUUUGGAUGAUGGAUAAGAUUUUUUAAAGCUUUCUAUUUUCUGAUUUUGUUGUCACAUUUAGUACUACCUUUAAUAGUUGUCUUGGUAAAAUUCUCACUUGAAUUUGGUAGUAAUUGAUAAUUAUACUGAUUUUUAAUAUUUCUAGUAGGAAUGAAAUUUUAUUAAAGUUUAAAAAAAGGUAGAAAAACCUACAUCAUUUAAGUUUUAUCUAAGAAGAUAGGUUAUAAAGGGAGGUGCCUAAAACUACUGAGGUCAUUUAUGUCUGCUUUUUAAUAAGGUAUGGAAUGGUUUAAACAAGUGUUUUAAAAAAUGUCUACAUAUCUCUGACUUAUUUACCAUAUAAGUUUUUCAAACGUAACUAUUCAGAGGUUAUUUUUCACAUUUGCCUUCCAAAGGGGUAUAAUUCUUCCAAAAAUCGUCAUAGAAUAAUCCUUCCCAACCUUAGGGAAAAUAUGUUAAACCGUGAAUAAAACCCAUGGUUAUUGAGCAGAACAUACCUAUUUUUUAAAAGUUGGUUAAAAUUUUUAAUACAAGUUCUUUGAGCCAAACUGAAAGUUGCGAUUUCAGUAUUUAAGAACUCCUUGAACGUUUUAGGUGGUCUCUGGAAUUUACUUUCUCAUGUUGACCUUUUUUCAUUCUUAUUUUAAGGGUAUUAUGCUCUGACAACCUUCUCCCAAGAAGGGACUAUUGCUGCUUACAUCUGAGCUGCCUUUUACAGAAAAACCUGUGAAAUAGGAAUAGCUCAUUCUCUCCUAAAGUUUACUGUUUACUGAUAUAGGGUGUUUUGUUUUUUGGUAAAACAGACCUAAAUGAGGAAUUUUGUUUGAAUUAGGUAUUAUUUUUCCAGAGGGCAUUUAUAUCUGCACCAUUGUCUCAUGACAUAGUGGUAGUUUUUAAAGACUAUAAGGCAGUUGAGAGAAUGAAGUAUGUCAAUAGAUAUCCUUUUGAUUCUCCAAACAACUAUAAUAUUGGGUUUUGUUCUUCCUAAAGAUUUUGAAAAAAAUUUUUUGGAUAUUCUGUUCCCUACAGUGGUAUUAUUCCAGGACCUAAGAAACAGGAAGUUACAAUUCUCUUUCAUAGAGUCAAAUCUGAAAGCAGUAAUUUAGUGGUGGAGCUGCUUUAUGUGAACAAUUACACAUGUAUAGUUUAGCAAAAUUGACACAGAAAAAGCCAGAAGUUCUCGUAUAAAAUUUUUUACUAUUACGUCUUAUGUAAUUGUGUCUUCUCUUUAAUUCAGUGCCUUCUUCCUCUAAGUGUGCUCUUACUUCAUGCCCCCUGCAGCGUCAACUGAUAAUUUAAGCCAGAGACCAUUAUGUUAUACUGGUGAGGGCCUUCUGUUGCAGGUGUAUGGAGCAGAGGAUUAAUCGGGCUGGAGGAGUGCAUAUGCUUCUAUUCUGUGCUCAUGCCAUCAUUUGAAACCCUUCAUUUAAAUUUUCUAAUAUUCAUUUGGAAAAUUCAUUUGAAGUAAUAACAAGUAUUACUUCAAAAUAAAAAUCUGAGGUUUUCCUGUUACUAUGUAUGCUUCUUAAAGGUCUCUAUAAAGAACAAAAGUUUUAAGUUUAUAUGUGUUAAGUUAAACUGGAAAAGUCUGCCACCCUCCUUUUCAAACUAGAAAAUAAUCAACUGUAGUGCCUAUUUAAAUAGUAUCAAAUUAAGGUAACUCUUAACUUGACUAUAAUAUAUAACAUUCUCAUUGUCAUUUGAAUUAAAAACUAUUGAGCCUUUUUGCUCAAAUUUAAUGCAUUGUGGGAAGAUGGUAUACCCUUUCAGACUUUAUUAGUUUGUUUACUCUUUGUUUUGACAGGUCAAACAUGAUUGCUUUCUGUAAAAGAAAUGCAUGAGAGGUUGACGGUAAUAGAUGUAUUACAGGUUUAACCUUUAAGUUACGGAUGAAGAACAUCAAUGGACACUUUUAAUAUACUCAGUUCUGCAAACUAGUCUUUUAAUAAGCAUAUUGCCUCAUUAUCCUUGGAAACAAGACAAAGCCUUUUAAACUUUAAACUUUUUAACUUCAAAAUAAAGUAUUCAAAGUGGAGUAACUUGAAUGUUGAAAUGAUGGUAUGCUCUGUGUAGAAUGACCGAGCCUAAGUUCUUACAAAAGCACCUGGAAUAUCUCCUCUAAAAAUUAAACUUUUUCUGCUUUCCUUUGCUUCA